rnacentral:snoRNA from 1 species
UCCCAUCGCUAAGUCAGGGCUUCUUCUGCAUUCGUUGCACACCUCAAUAGAAGAAGUCCGUUACAGCUUUGGGAGAUCAACCUCGUCCCGCCGCUUCUGACCGUUAUGGUUUCGAAGUUGGAUCAUCGCCGUCUUGGUGUUUAUCCGCAAGGGUCUGAGAAUGAUUCGUCUGAGUUGAGGGCCGUCUCCGCAUUAGUGGUCCUUCAUGGCGGUCCUCUUAGUUACGUUUCAUACAUGC